rnacentral:lncRNA from 1 species
CAUGCCCGCGCUCCCCGCUCGACGAGCCUCCGCGCGGCGGCCUUCGAUCCGAACGACGAUGCUACGAGAUGUGGAGACAAGGGUCAUUAUGCUUAUGACUGUCACCGCAUAUAGUCGGAGGAGGAGGAGCAGGUCACGGUCUAGAUCUCAUUCAAGGUCCAGAGGAAGAAGGUAUUCUCGGUCACGCAGCCGAAGCCGUGGUAGGCGAUCCAGGUCAGCUUCUGUUCGCAGAUCGAGGUCGGUGUCACCUCGUAGAUCUAGAUCAGCCUCACCCCGUAGAUCCCGGUCACGUUCUUUAAAAAGAUCAAGGUCUAGAUCCAGAUCCAGAUCCAGAUCUGCUUUAUGGCCACGAAGCAGCCGAUCAAAGUCCAGAUCACCAUCUCCAAAGAGAAGUCGUUCACCAUCAGGAAGCCCUCGAAGGAGGAGUGCAAGUCCUGUAAGAAUGGACUGAAAUUUCAAAGUUAACCUUUUAGGAAGAAAGUUAUUUUGUUUACGUUGUUAAAGGGAUUUUGUGUCUGAUGUAAAUGGUAAGGGCUUAGUCUUAGAAGGGUAUUUCAAUCAAAUAACAAUUGGCCUGGAUUGGGAUCUUCUAAAUUGUGACAUCACAUUCGUAGAUUAGUGCGCAACUUUUUUGUUGUAUGCAUUUGCAUCCUGUGAUCUGAAAAUGUGGGACUUUUUUUUUUUUUUUUUUUUUUUUUAUUGACACAUAGAAAUAAAAUGUGUAUUUCUAACUAAAAACCUUUGUGG